rnacentral:misc_RNA from 1 species
UAUAUGUUGUCUAUACGUCCUACUGAUCACUUCUUAUUGAACAACGUGGAAAACCUGAUUCAGUUAGGAGAUAGCAAAAUAUGUGAUUCCCAGGUUUCUUUGAAAAAGGAAAAAAAAUUAUUCAUAAGGAAAAUGUGCGCUAGAUUUGUUAAUUGUUGUUCUGUACUUGUUCGGCUCAAGUGAAUCAUGUCAAAAGCUGUCCGCCGGUUAAGUAAGGUUUGGAUGAAUGAGGGUCGCAAGAGUCAAAUAGUCCUGCCAGACGAGCGAAGACUCGACCUUCUGAUCCAGCCUAAGCUAACAUCAAGAGACCUGCUAGAUCUGGUGGCCUCUCAUUUCAAAUUAAAAGAAAAAGAGUACUUUGGUCUAUGUUAUCAGGACGAUUCCGGGCAUCAGAAUUGGCUGAAUUUAGACAAGAGAGUUUUAGAACACGACUUCGCUCGCAGAGCUGGAACACUGAUUCUAAUUUUUGCUGUUAGGUUCUAUGUGGAGAGUAUAGCCUCACUUAGAGAUAUCCAGACUGUUGAAGUUUUUUUCUUGAACGCCAAGCAAGCAAUAUUUAAGGGACAGAUAGAGUGUGACAGUGAGACUGUGUUUGAGUUGGCAGCCCUAGUAUUACAAGUCACCCACGGAGAUUUCACGAGUGAGGAGAAUGCCAAAAAUGACUUAAAGAAGCUUCCUGUGAUUCCAACCUACAUCCUCAGAGAGCACCCUUCUAUACAGUACUGUGAGGACAAGGUGAUAUCUUACUACAAGAAGAUCGCUGGCUCAACGCGAGGUCUCGCCAUUGUCAAUUAUCUCUCUAUUGUUGAAAGUCUGCCAACUUACGGAACCCAUUACUAUGAAGUCAAGGAUAAGAAGGACCACCCAUGGUGGCUGGGACUGAGCUACAAGGGGAUAGCAGUGUACGACAAGACAGACAAAACCACCCCCAGAAAGGUGUUUAAUUGGAAGCAGUUAGAAAACCUGUACUAUAGGGACAAGAAGUUCUCCAUAGAAGUCCACGACACAAAACGAGUCUCGGUGAGUCGCCGGACGUUUGGACCUGGGAACGUUUUAGUCCACGCCUGGUUUGGUGCAUCGCCUCAAAUAACGAAAUGUAUCUGGUGUAUGGCCGUGGCCCAACAUCAGUUUUAUCUCGAUAGGAAACAUAAUAAGCCGUCAUUACCUCAGGCUCGCAGUGUCAGCGAGAUAGCGGCCGAAUUAUCUCGCAGCACGUCAUCGUUACAAGGAUCUCUUGGCUCGGACUCGAUAAGUCGCAGCGGGAGUUCUGCAAGUUUACCAAGUCUGACUACAUCCAGGUUUGACUUGAAUUGUGACCCCAGUGUUGAGACUGUGAAAGCUCAGAGAGAGAUGUACACAGCACUAAAGGCCCGAAAGGAGGCCUUAGAGGAGGCGGUCAACAAGAAGUUGGAGGAACUAAAGCAGCUCUGUAUACAAGAGGGGGAGCUGACUGGUUGUCUGCCCUUGGACUACCCCCAGCAGUCUGGGGAGCCCCUCCCGACCAUCAGGAAGAGAGUAGGAACCGCCUUCUCCCUGGCCUCCAAGGUUUCAGACAACAAGACUGACGAUGCCCUGUCUAACCUGGAGCUGGAGUACGAACUCCAGAAGCAGAUCACCAGCGCCGCCAAGAAGCUGUCCCAGGAUAAGUCGGUCAGCAAGUACGUCCGCAAGCAGCGGCGCCAGUCUCUCCACAGGGCCCAGGCCAAGCUGAAAGAGAUGGAGAAGAAACUGUGUGAUACCAAGGGUGACAAGGGUCACUUCCUGCCAUCAGGGGUGCCAUCGUUCGAUGGUAUGUACAGUGUAGUUAAUCAGAGCAUAGUAGAGAAAGAGUACGACUUAGAUCAGUGUCUUUCUAACACCUUCUGUGACGACAUGCUGCUGGCCGAGAAGCGUCGAGGGAAGCGAUCCGUAACGUCCCGCCUCUACAAGUCCUUCCGGGAGCGGUACUCCGUCAAAGGUCGCCUCAACAAGUCCUACCUCGACAACCCCGACCGCCACAACAACAACAGCAUCCUGGAGGCCUCCUUCUUUGUCGGAUCCACCCGUGAGAAAACACGAUCUCUCAACCGCACCGUGCAUCCUGUGUUGGAAAUUCCCAAAGUUACGCCUGUGUUGAAGUCGUCGUCUUCUUCAGGGUCGACUAACUCCGCCACCUCCUCUGCCUCCUCUGGAUACCACUCCAUUCCGUCCCCCACUCGGGCUUCCUGGCAGUCGUACCAGUAUGAGAAGAUGUGCCACGAACUGACCGAGAAACCACACGUGGAAAGUCAGGUCUAGCCCCACCGUUUUAUCCGGGAUCCAUCCCCCUUAUUUAUUGUGUGCUUUAAUGUGGCAGCUUUCUGUGUUAAAUUUAUUUGUUGUUUUAACCAGACAGAAAAUGUCUUUCCAAUAGUGCAAAGGGAGUACAGUGGCUUGUUGAUCAAUUACAAGGGAGAUAACUUGUGAUCUCAAAAGAACCCUCAAAGCAUCAUCAAAAAAAUCAUAUCCAUUAUAUUUAUAUGUGCAUGUGUAUGUGUGUGUGCUUGUCAUGUAAUCACAUAAUCAUGCUUUGUGUGUGCUUCAUUUAUCAUUUGCUUGCAUAUUAUGAGCAUCAAGGACUUACCAUGAACUUUCAAAUUGUCAAUGUGAUUGACAGAAACUUUGAAAAUUUAUGAAAAGUGAUUGUCAUAAUAUGUAUUCAUUGUGUGUUGGUUCAACCAUUGUCUCAUUUGGCAUUGUUUUGUUCCUAUGCUUUGCUACUAGUUAUUAUUCCCUUCUGUUAUUUUCACUGAUGCUCCCUCAUCUUUUGUUUUACCAAUAAAUGUUUUAUAAUAAUCUC